rnacentral:lncRNA from 1 species
ACCCUCGCUGCCCGCCAGCCACACAGUCCAACAACCAGAUCCCCCACUCUAUUCCUUAACAUUCUGUUUGCGGUGCUGGGUUCCCCUCAAGCCAAUCAGUGCUCCCAGGGUGAAGUUCAUCCCAGGUCCUGGCCUGGCCUGGGACUGGAGAUAGGAGCGCUGACCUCCAUCACCCACUGUCUUCUGGAAGGCUUGGCUCACUCCCUUAACUCCGCAAAACUUCCAGGAACCAGCCAGGCAUUGUGAGGCGUCUCUGUCAGUCUACCAUUCAGGAGGCUGAGCCAGGAGGACUGCCAUGUGUUCAAGACCGCGGUAGGCUAUGAAAUGAGACUGUGUCUCGACCCCCAAAGUUGACUGUGGGUAGAGAGUGCUUGGCUAUUUUGCUGGAAGCAUGGAGUCAGCAGGUCCCAUCUUAAAGCAGAAACCCUUCAUCA